GCCAGCAGCCAUAUCACCCUGCAGCUCUCCAAUGGCAGCCCACUGAAGCUCAGCAGGGCGGAGCCUGGUCAGUGCCUGGAUGGCAGACCCCCUGGGAAAGCUCAGGCUGCUGCUGGAA
rnacentral:rRNA from 1 species